UACGGAGGGUGCAAGCGUUAUCCGGAUUCACUGGGUUUAGAGGGUGCGUAGGUGGCUUUGUAAGUCAGUGGUGAAAUCUUAGAGCUUAACUCUAAAACUGCCAUUGAUACUGCUUAGCUUGAAUCAAGUAGAGGUGGAUGGAAUAAUACAUGUAGCGGUGAAAUGCUUAGAUAUGUAUUAGAACACCGAUUGCGAAGGCAGUUCACUAUGCUUGUAUUGACACUGAGGCACGAAAGCGUGGGGAUCAAACAGG
rnacentral:rRNA from 1 species